UUGAAAUCCAAUAAGGCGUUUGGUCUUCAAUUUAAAUAUUAUUUAAUCAUUCAUAAAAAGACCAACUAAUGGACUUGUCACAAUACUUUAAACCGUUGCGGAAUAUCUUGCUCUUGGGGGACGAGUUCGUUGGAAAAACUUCUCUGAUAAAAGGAUAUAUAAACAAAGAAAAUUCUGGUAAAUGCAGAACAUCAUAUGGAGCGGAUCUAUUUACAAAGGAAUUGAUUCUAAAUGACAGUUUGGUUUCCCUGCAGAUCUGGGAGAUAUUGGGGUAUGAUGGAUUUAAUAAUAAGAGCACGAAAUUCUAUAGAGCAGCCCAUGGCUGCAUUUUAGUCUUUGAUGUCACGCGUCGAAAAUCAUUCGAAAGUCUUAAUUCGUGGUGGCGUCGAUUUUUUUUUAUGACAAAUAAAAAAAACCCUGAUGAAUUCCCGGUUGCUGUUGUGGGUAACAAAAUUG